GUCCCGCUAGCUCAGUGGAAGAGCGUCGCUCUCCGGAAGCGAAGGUCGUGGGUUCGAACCCCAUGCGGGAUA